GCUUUACAUGAUGCACUGCAAUUGGAGUUAGCCACUGUGAGGGGAGAAUUUUCAUCUCCUUCUUGGGCUAGGGGAGUAAAAAUAAAAUCGAGAUAAUGUUCUGCCACUGGUAUUUUCUGAAUCUGCUUCUUUCUCUUCUGUGGUGCCAAGAGAGGGGAUUCUGCUACAUCUGUACUUCAAGCCAUCUGCUUAGCAAAUUAAAGGGAUCAUAUCCAGAGGAAGGUAGUAUAACCAGGAUCCCAGCUCAACAUCCCAUUCAAGAGUAAAGGAUUGCAGACUUGGCUUUCCGUAACUUUCUUCUUUAUGAUACUUUAUAUAAGCAAGCUGCUUGUAUGUGUGUUUUCACUCCUCUGCUGUCUCCUGUGUGCUCUUAAUUUUUUCUUAUCUGUGGGUAAAAAAUCUCUUUUAGAAUUUUACACAUCAACUGGGCUGUCUUGCUGGGCCAAUGUGCUGCUGAGAUGCCCAGACUGAAGCACUGGAAGGCCUUAAGGUAGUUGAUGCAUACAGCUGGUGCAUUUUUUUGGUCUGCUAUUAAUGAGGUACUACUGAAAAAUUUGGAAGCGUGGCCUAGUGGGUCAUCUAACAUAGUGAUGUUAGAUAAGUGAUGGUAAGAUAUAAAUACAAUAUAUCAUGAUAUGUAAGACCAAGUGCCAAAUUUUGCAUAUUUGAAUCCCUGCUUAAAGGUAAUAGCUAAGCUGUAGCAUUGUCUAAUUUGCAGCACUGCUAUUCCAGAUCAGAGCGGGUAAGUUGCAGAGACUACAAAAGAGAAUGACUUAAAAUCAUGGGAGUUUCUAAAGGAAAAGUCCCAAAAAGUUGAUCUACUUUAGAAUAAAACUAAGAUUGGACACAGUAAUAUCCUUCAAAUCCACAAAAAAGUCUGCUGUAAGAAAAGGAAACGAUCUGUUUUGCAUUGUCCACAGGGAACAGAAUAAGAAGCAAUGGGCUUAAGUGAAAAGAAGUACAGUUCUAAUUUAAAAAAAGGACAGUUAAGCUCUGUGAUAAGUUAAGGCAUCUGGAAUACUCUACUAUAUAAUUCUAAUAUUAUAUGGGGACAUUUAAAUGUGUAUUUUAAAGUCAAGCAGAAAUAUAAAGUCACAAUUGUAUUCAUUUUCAUUAUUAUCACUCUGUUUUACUCCCCAAAAAGUUUUUGUGCUGUGAACUUCUAAACUAUAUGAAUGAAUAAUUCCGGUGAGGAAGAAGGAGCUUCUGGAUUUAUUUAUUGGGGUUUUGUUGUGUUUUUUUUUUUUAAAGUUUUACAAAGGAAGACUGUAUAUAUAAACAAGAGUUGAAUCUGCAUGUGAGUUAAGGGGUAAGAACUGGUAAGUCUCCCUCAGUAUUUCAGAAAUACUCAAACUAGUUAGUUACAGGUAGAAGCCUUCUUUCUAGGGUAUGCUGCCCAGUCUAGAGGGGACAGUUUUAACUUUAUGAAUAAUCACUUUUUUAAACUUAAAAUAAAUGUCUCACGGAAAUUGUAACUGUUAGUCUGACUUAACAAAGAGUAUGAUAGUUGACUAAGUUGUUGUCAGGAAGAUGCGUGAAAGAGGAAAUGCUGCUAACAUCUUCUGGAAAGAUUACCAACUUCUUAAAAAGAAGUAAAACACAUCAAGGAAUAAAUAUUUCCAUAUUAUGACACUUUUUCUGUGAGAAAUAUGCAUAUUUUUCCCCAGGAGUGCACAGUGAUUAACUGUAAAAUGUUGUACUACCUGAAAAUGUCAAAGUGGCACAAAAAUUAUUAAAGAGGGCUCAGCCAAAAGGCUUGCCCAUGAAUAUUUAAUAACACAGUAAUAGGGUUCUGUAUUUCCACCAACUUAAAUGAGUGAAGCUUUGGAAAGUUAGCUUUGAACUUGGGAACCUCCUAUCUCACAAAUAAGUGUACUGCAGCAUGCCUUGGAUUCAGUUUAAUAUUAAAGGAUGGCCUGUGUGUGUGUAAGGACAUUUUGUAUAGAUAGUUUUUCUAUACUUUGGACUCUAUCACCUAUUUGUUAGAGGAUUAAUUGCUUGUAGUUACAGCUCCUCACUGCCAAGAUUUACAAUCUAGGCAAUAACUACUUACUCUGCAGAACUUGCUACUUCCUCUCUUAUUAUACCCCUGAUUUCAGUGGAAGUUUAGUUCCAGUAUUCAUUAAUAAGCCUUAUUCAAAGCCUAAGUAAGAAACACACUCACACACUCACACACACACACAAAGUAUGUGUAUUUCAUGAAAAGGGACUUGGAAAACAUACCAAACCUACUACUUUAUAUGUUUAUUUGUUUGUUUAUUUGUUUUGAAGCUUACUGCACAAGCCCUUAACAUGUUCUUCUCUCAAGAGUGAAAGAUGGAAAUUGCCAGUGAAUGCUUCAUGGCUGAAACUGAGACUUUCUUAACAGAAGCAAACCAGUGCCUUCUCAUCUAGGAUUCAUUGUCAGCGUCUUUGUGACCUCAUGUCUCAAGAAUGGCACUGUACCUGUGAUACAAUUCUUCUAAACAUCAGGAGGAAGCAGCAAUGGGCAGGACUGCCACUCACCAUCUCAGCUGUCCAGGGCCCCAUCCAACCUGGUCUUGAGCACCUGCAGGGAUGGGACACCACAGCUUCUCUGGGCAGCUGUGCCAGCACCUCAUAAGCCUGUGA